rnacentral:rRNA from 1 species
AGCGAACGCUGGCGGCAGGCCUAACACAUGCAAGUCGAACGAACCUUUCGGGGUUAGUGGCGGACGGGUGAGUAACACGUGGGAACGUGCCUUUAGGUUCGGAAUAACUCAGGGAAACUUGUGCUAAUACCGAAUGUGCCCUUCGGGGGAAAGAUUUAUCGCCUUUAGAGCGGCCCGCGUCUGAUUAGCUAGUUGGUUGAGGUAAUGGCUCACCAAGGCGACGAUCAGUAGCUGGUCUGAGAGGAUGAUCAGCCACAUUGGGACUGAGACACGGCCCAAACUCCUACGGGAUGCAGCAGUGGGGAAUCUUGCGCAAUGGGCGAAAGCCUGACGCAGCCAUGCCGCGUGAAUGAUGAAGGUCUUAGGAUUGUAAAAUUCUUUCACCGGUGACGAUAAUGACGGUACCCGGAGAAGAAGCCCCGGCUAACUUCGUG